rnacentral:sRNA from 1 species
GGCUGGUCUGAGUGCAGUUACAGAUUUCUUUAUUCCUUGUCCAUUCCCAUUGCUUCACUUGACAGGCCUAAA